rnacentral:lncRNA from 1 species
UCUCUACGAACCACGCAUGUGCAACGGCCACUUCAGGGAGCAGUGCCACUGCAGCCCUUACGUGACCUCUUCGGGCGGCGGACGAGCUGUUGUAAC